rnacentral:rRNA from 1 species
AACGAACGCUGGCGGCAGGCCUAACACAUGCAAGUCGAACGUGAAGCCACCUUCGGGUGGUGGAAAGUGGCAGACGGGUGAGUAACGCGUGGGAACGUGCCUUUCGGUUCGGAAUAACCCAGGGAAACUUGGGCUAAUACCGGAUACGCCCUUCGGGGGAAAGAUUCAUCGCCGAAAGAUCGGCCCGCGUCGGAUUAGCUAGUUGGUAGGGUAAUGGCCUACCAAGGCGACGAUCCGUAGCUGGUCUGAGAGGAUGACCAGCCACACUGGGACUGAGACACGGCCCAGACUCCUACGGGAGGCAGCAGUGGGGAAUAUUGGACAAUGGGCGAAAGCCUGAUCCAGCCAUGCCGCGUGGGUGAAGAAGGCCCUAGGGUUGUAAACCCCUUUCAGCGGGGAAGAUAAUGACGGUACCCGCAGAAGAAGCCCCGGCUAACUCCGUGCCAGCAGCCGCAGUAAAAC